UACGGAGGGUGCAAGCGUUGUCCGGAUUUAUUGGGUUUAAAGGGUGCGUAGGCGGCUAAUUAAGUCAGUGUUGAAAGGCAGCAGCUCAACUGUUAGCACGGCCAUUGAUACUGAUUAGCUUGAGUACAGUCGAGGUAGGCGGAAUUGAAGGUGUAGCGGUGAAAUGCAUAGAUAUCUUCAAGAACACCUAUUGCGAAGGCAGCUUACUAGGCUGUAACUGACGCUGAGGCACGAAAGCGUGGGGAUCGAACAGG
rnacentral:rRNA from 1 species